GUGCUUGCUUUAAAAGCACAUAUAUUAAAAUUGAAACUAUAUAGAGAAAAUUAGCAUAGGUCCAGUGCAUGGAUGACAAGAAAAUUCAUGAGGCCUUCCAUAUUUUU